UACGUAGGGUGCAAGCGUUAAUCGGAAUUACUGGGCGUAAAGCGUGCGCAGGCGGUUAUGCAAGACAGAUGUGAAAUCCCCGGGCUCAACCUGGGAACUGCAUUUGUGACUGCAUGGCUGGAGUGCGGCAGAGGGGGAUGGAAUUCCGCGUGUAGCAGUGAAAUGCGUAGAUAUGCGGAGGAACACCGAUGGCGAAGGCAAUCCCCUGGGCCUGCACUGACGCUCAUGCACGAAAGCGUGGGAGCGAAACAGG
rnacentral:rRNA from 1 species